rnacentral:rRNA from 1 species
CGCAUCUGUGCAUGCAGCAUAUCAAUAAGCGGAGGAAAAGAAACUAACAAGGAUUCCCUUAGUAACGGCGAGUGAAGCGGGAAGAGCUCAAAUUUGAAAUCUUCAAGGUUUUACCUUGACGAAUUGUAGUUUAAAGAAGUGUUUUCUGUUGAAGUUUUGGUAAAAGUUCUUUGGAAUAGGACAUCAUAGAGGGUGAGAAUCCCGUAUUUGACCAUUAUUUUCAGCUGUGUGAUACACUUUCAAAGAGUCGGAUUGUUUGGGAAUGCAGUCCAGAAUGGGUGGUAAAUUUCAUCUAAAGCUAAAUAUUGGCGAGAGACCGAUAGCGAACAAGUACCGUGAGGGAAAGAUGAAAAGAACUUUGAAAAGAGAGUUAAACAGUACGUGAAAUUGUCAAAAGGGAAGCGUUUGACACCAGUGUUGUUUUCUCGAAAAUCAAUUAAAAAGAGUUUGAUUUUGUUGUGUAUUGACCUUAACAGCUUGCAUUUCAAUUUUCUUGCUUUUUUUAAUGCACUUUUCGUUUAACAAGUCGACAUCAGUUUCUUUUGUUGUAAAAAGGUCAUUGGAAGGUGGCUUUCUUUUCGGAGAAAGUGUUUAUAGCCUUUGACUCCUGCAAUCGGAGAGACUGAGGUCUGCAGCGUAGAUCCUUCGGGGUUAGAUACAUUUGUGCUAAGUUAUAGCUUUUUAUAGACAACUUGUUGACUAUGAUUAGUCUUGUAGCUUACUCGCUUAUGCUAUUUUACCUACGCUUAGGAUGUUGACACACGCGCGUGCUCG